rnacentral:rRNA from 1 species
GGGUUGUGAGGUUAAGCGACUAAGCGUACACGGUGGAUGCCCUGGCAGUCAGAGGCGAUGAAGGACGUGCUAAUCUGCGAUAAGCGUCGGUAAGGUGAUAUGAACCGUUAUAACCGGCGAUUUCCGAAUGGGGAAACCCAGUGUGAUUCGUCACACUAUCAUUAACUGAAUCCAUAGGUUAAUGAGGCGAACCGGGGGAACUGAAACAUCUAAGUACCCCGAGGAAAAGAAAUCAACCGAGAUUCCCCCAGUAGCGGCGAGCGAACGGGGAGCAGCCCAGAGCCUGAAUCAGUGUGUGUGUUAGUGGAAGCGUCUGGAAAGGCGCGCGAUACAGGGUGACAGCCCCGUACACAAAAAUGCACAUGCUGUGAGCUCGAUGAGUAGGGCGGGACACGUGGUAUCCUGUCUGAAUAUGGGGGGACCAUCCUCCAAGGCUAAAUACUCCUGACUGACCGAUAGUGAACCAGUACCGUGAGGGAAAGGCGAAAAGAACCCCGGCGAGGGGAGUGAAAAAGAACCUGAAACCGUGUACGUACAAGCAGUGGGAGCCUCUUUAUGGGGUGACUGCGUACCUUUUGUAUAAUGGGUCAGCGACUUAUAUUCUGUAGCAAGGUUAACCGAAUAGGGGAGCCGAAGGGAAACCGAGUCUUAACUGGGCGUUAAGUUGCAGGGUAUAGACCCGAAACCCGGUGAUCUAGCCAUGGGCAGGUUGAAGGUUGGGUAACACUAACUGGAGGACCGAACCGACUAAUGUUGAAAAAUUAGCGGAUGACUUGUGGCUGGGGGUGAAAGGCCAAUCAAACCGGGAGAUAGCUGGUUCUCCCCGAAAGCUAUUUAGGUAGCGCCUCGUGAAUUCAUCUCCGGGGGUAGAGCACUGUUUCGGCAAGGGGGUCAUCCCGACUUACCAACCCGAUGCAAACUGCGAAUACCGGAGAAUGUUAUCACGGGAGACACACGGCGGGUGCUAACGUCCGUCGUGAAGAGGGAAACAACCCAGACCGCCAGCUAAGGUCCCAAAGUCAUGGUUAAGUGGGAAACGAUGUGGGAAGGCCCAGACAGCCAGGAUGUUGGCUUAGAAGCAGCCAUCAUUUAAAGAAAGCGUAAUAGCUCACUGGUCGAGUCGGCCUGCGCGGAAGAUGUAACGGGGCUAAACCAUGCACCGAAGCUGCGGCAGCGACGCUUAUGCGUUGUUGGGUAGGGGAGCGUUCUGUAAGCCUGCGAAGGUGUACUGUGAGGUAUGCUGGAGGUAUCAGAAGUGCGAAUGCUGACAUAAGUAACGAUAAAGCGGGUGAAAAGCCCGCUCGCCGGAAGACCAAGGGUUCCUGUCCAACGUUAAUCGGGGCAGGGUGAGUCGACCCCUAAGGCGAGGCCGAAAGGCGUAGUCGAUGGGAAACAGGUUAAUAUUCCUGUACUUGGUGUUACUGCGAAGGGGGGACGGAGAAGGCUAUGUUGGCCGGGCGACGGUUGUCCCGGUUUAAGCGUGUAGGCUGGUUUUCCAGGCAAAUCCGGAAAAUCAAGGCUGAGGCGUGAUGACGAGGCACUACGGUGCUGAAGCAACAAAUGCCCUGCUUCCAGGAAAAGCCUCUAAGCAUCAGGUAACAUCAAAUCGUACCCCAAACCGACACAGGUGGUCAGGUAGAGAAUACCAAGGCGCUUGAGAGAACUCGGGUGAAGGAACUAGGCAAAAUGGUGCCGUAACUUCGGGAGAAGGCACGCUGAUAUGUAGGUGAAGCGACUUGCUCGUGGAGCUGAAAUCAGUCGAAGAUACCAGCUGGCUGCAACUGUUUAUUAAAAACACAGCACUGUGCAAACACGAAAGUGGACGUAUACGGUGUGACGCCUGCCCGGUGCCGGAAGGUUAAUUGAUGGGGUUAGCGGUAACGCGAAGCUCUUGAUCGAAGCCCCGGUAAACGGCGGCCGUAACUAUAACGGUCCUAAGGUAGCGAAAUUCCUUGUCGGGUAAGUUCCGACCUGCACGAAUGGCGUAAUGAUGGCCAGGCUGUCUCCACCCGAGACUCAGUGAAAUUGAACUCGCUGUGAAGAUGCAGUGUACCCGCGGCAAGACGGAAAGACCCCGUGAACCUUUACUAUAGCUUGACACUGAACAUUGAGCCUUGAUGUGUAGGAUAGGUGGGAGGCUUUGAAGUGUGGACGCCAGUCUGCAUGGAGCCGACCUUGAAAUACCACCCUUUAAUGUUUGAUGUUCUAACGUUGGCCCCUAAUCGGGGUUGCGGACAGUGUCUGGUGGGUAGUUUGACUGGGGCGGUCUCCUCCUAAAGAGUAACGGAGGAGCACGAAGGUUGGCUAAUCCUGGUCGGACAUCAGGAGGUUAGUGCAAUGGCAUAAGCCAGCUUGACUGCGAGCGUGACGGCGCGAGCAGGUGCGAAAGCAGGUCAUAGUGAUCCGGUGGUUCUGAAUGGAAGGGCCAUCGCUCAACGGAUAAAAGGUACUCCGGGGAUAACAGGCUGAUACCGCCCAAGAGUUCAUAUCGACGGCGGUGUUUGGCACCUCGAUGUCGGCUCAUCACAUCCUGGGGCUGAAGUAGGUCCCAAGGGUAUGGCUGUUCGCCAUUUAAAGUGGUACGCGAGCUGGGUUUAGAACGUCGUGAGACAGUUCGGUCCCUAUCUGCCGUGGGCGCUGGAGAACUGAGGGGGGCUGCUCCUAGUACGAGAGGACCGGAGUGGACGCAUCACUGGUGUUCGGGUUGUCAUGCCAAUGGCACUGCCCGGUAGCUAAAUGCGGAAGAGAUAAGUGCUGAAAGCAUCUAAGCACGAAACUUGCCCCGAGAUGAGUUCUCCCUGACUCCUUGAGAGUCCUGAAGGAACGUUGAAGACGACGACGUUGAUAGGCCGGGUGUGUAAGCGCAGCGAUGCGUUGAGCUAACCGGUACUAAUGAACCGUGAGGCUUAACCUUACAACGCCGAAG